AUACUUACCUGGACAGGGUCAAUGGCUGAUCAGUAAGGGUCAUGGCCUAGGUCUACGGCCUCCAUUGCACUUAGGAGGAGUGUUGGCCUAAGGUCUCCCCAAGUUGGGAGAGCCUAUGUCGUAAUUUGUGAUAGUGGGGGCCUGCGUUCGCGCGGCCCCUUU